GUGAACGCUGGCGGUAGGCCUAACACAUGCACGUCGAACGGCAGCACAGUAAGAGCUUGCUCUUACGGGUGGCGAGUGGCGGACGGGUGAGGAAUACAUCGGAAUCUACUUUUUCGUGGGGGAUAACGUAGGGAAACUUACGCUAAUACCGCAUACGACCUACGGGUGAAAGCAGGGGAUCUUCGGACCUUGCGCGAUUGAAUGAGCCGAUGUCGGAUUAGCUAGUUGGCGGGGUAAAGGCCCACCAAGGCGACGAUCCGUAGCUGGUCUGAGAGGAUGAUCAGCCACACUGGAACUGAGACACGGUCCAGACUCCUACGGGAGGCGGCAGUGGGGAAUAUUGGACAAUGGGCGCAAGCCUGAUCCAGCCAUACCGCGUGGGUGAAGAAGGCCUUCGGGUUGUAAAGCCCUUUUGUUGGGAAAGAAAAGCAGCAGGUUAAUACCCCGCUGUUCUGACGGUACCCAAAGAAUAAGCACCGGCUAACUUCGUG
rnacentral:rRNA from 1 species